rnacentral:misc_RNA from 1 species
GAUGAAGAACGUAGCGAAAUGCGAUAAGUAAUGUGAAUUGCAGAAUUCCGUGAAUCAUCGAAUCUUUGAACGCACAUUGCGCCCCCUGGUAUUCCGGGGGGCAUGCCUGUCCGAGCGUCAUUGCAACCCUCAAGCGCGGCUUGUGUGUUGGGCUUCGUCCCCCCGUGGACGUGCCCGAAAGGCAGUGGCGGCGUCCCGAAUGGUGACCGAGCGUAUGGGAACUCUCUUCCGCUCGAACCGGCCCAUUCGGCGCUGGUCGAACCCCAAUUUUUUUUUACCGGUUGACCUCGGAUCAGGUAGGGAUACCCGCUGAACUUAAGCAUAUCAAUAAGCGGAGGA